ensembl:lncRNA
UUUGGCAGUACUUGACAAGUUUGGCUGACUCUGUCUUACAAAGCCUCAAACAGAUGCAUUCAGCUUGCUGCUGGUCUCCCAAGUUCCCAAGUGCCAGAACAAGGUAGCCAAGAGUGAUCAGCUGUGGAGAAACCUGUGUCUGAGAAAAUGGAGCUUCUGCAUCUUCUCCAGUCAGUGCCUGGGCGCACAGACACACAGCAGUGUUCCUCAGACAAAGCAGGAGUGCUGGAUGACGCUGGCACAUCAGACACUCUGUCUACAAAGCAGCAGCUGGGAACCUCAGUGUACGGCAGAGAGUACGCUAGAGGAGCAACACCAUGAAUUUCAUUGGCCUUUCUUGACGUGACAUCAGUUGUGUGUAUUUUCAUGCUACUUCUCUCCAUGCAUGAGGAACCCAGGCAUUUCAAGUUGAGAAAACAUUUCACAGCAGAAGCUAAAUAUUCUGAACUUGCAAGCAACAAGAUGAGAAACAUGAUCUCUCUGUUUCAGAUUCACAGAUACUUUACAGAUCUCAAAUAUUUACUCAUCUCCUGCUCAUCGGCCUCUAGGACUGAGUGAUCACCCAUGUGUUGUAGAAGGAAAAUUCUCAAGCUUUGACAUUCAACUACCUGGGUUCCAAACUCAACUGUACCACUUAGCAGCUCUGUGCCCAGUCACGUCAACUCUUUGCAGCCCCAUGGACUAUAGUCCACCAGGCUCCUCUGCCCAUGGAAUUUUCCAGGCAAGAAUACUAGAGUGGGUUGCCAUUUCCUUUUCCAGGGGAUCUUCCCGACACCGUGAUCAAAACCACAUCUCCUGUGUCUCCUGCAUUGGCAGGCAGAUUCUUUACCAUUCGUGCAACCUAGGAAGCCCAGUAGCUUAUGAGCUUGGGCAAAUCACCUCAUCAUGUGUGAAAUGAAGAUAUAACUGUAUCUAAUUGAUAAAGCUGGUACCUGG